GGGAUGGCUUAUGCCUGCACCAUCGACCGACCAUGAUCUUCUGUGAAAGGUUUGAGUACGAGCAUACCUGUUGGGACCCGAAAGAUGGUGAACUAUGCCUGAGCAGGGCGAAGCCAGAGGAAACUCUGGUGGAGGCUCGUAGAUGUGCUGACGUGCAAAUCGCUUUUCGGACUUGGGUAUAGGGGCGAAAGACUACUAGUAGCUGGUUCCCUCCGAAGUUUCCCCCAGGAUAGCUGGAGCUUGAUCAGUUUUAUCGGGUAAAGCGAAUGAUUAGAGGUACCGGGGAUGAAACAUCCUCGACCUAUUCUCAAACUUUAAAUAGGUAAGACGUCUGGGUUGCUUAAUUGAACCCAGGCAUUCAAUGAGAGCUCCAAGUGGGCCAUUUUGGUAAGCAGAA
rnacentral:rRNA from 1 species